GACGAACGCUGGCGGCGUGCUUAACACAUGCAAGUCGAACGGAAAGGCCCUUCUUUUGUGGGGUGCUCGAGUGGCGAACGGGUGAGUAACACGUGAGUAACCUGCCCUUGACUUUGGGAUAACUUCAGGAAACUGGGGCUAAUCCCGGAUAGGCGCUCCUGCUGCAUGGUGGGGGUUGGUAUGUUUCGGCGGUUGGGGAUGGACUCGCGGCUUAUCAGCUUGUUGGUGGGGUAGUGGCUUACCAAGGCUUUGACGUGUAGCCGGCCUGAGAGGGUGACCGGCCACAUUGGGACUGAGAUACGGCCCAGACUCCUACGGGAGGCAGCAGUGGGGAAUAUUGCACAAUGGGCGGAAGCCUGAUGCAGCAACGCCGCGUGCGUGAUGACGGCCUUCGGGUUGUAAACCGCUUGCGCCUGUGACGAAGCGUGAGUGACGGUAAUGGGUAAAGAAGCACCGGCUAACUACGUG
rnacentral:rRNA from 1 species